rnacentral:misc_RNA from 1 species
GAUGAAGAACGCAGUGAAAUGCGAUAAGUAAUGUGAAUUGCAGAAUUCAGUGAAUCAUCGAAUCUUUGAACGCACAUUGCGCCCCUUGGUAUUCCGAGGGGCAUGCCUGUUCGAGCGUCAUUAUAACCCCUCAAGCUCAGCUUGGUGUUGGGGCCUGCUGCACUGGCAGCCCUUAAAAUCAGUGGCGGCGCCAUCUGGCUCUAAGCGUAGUAAUUCUUCUCGCUAUGGAGUCCUGGUGGAUGCUUGCCAUCAACCCCCAAUUUUUCUAUGGUUGACCUCGGAUCAGGUAGGGAUACCCGCUGAACUUAAGCAUAUCAAUAGCGGAGGA